UUAACUCAUCGAAUUCUUUGCCUACAUAUUGCACAGGAGAGGCUGGAAACUUGAGAGUGAUAUAAAAGGAGGGCAAGCGAGAGUAUACAAAAAGAAGGGUUUGCAAAGUGGUGAGGGGUGGUGACUCGGGAGAGUGUGCGGUGAUUGCUGGGAGCGGCAAGGAAGGAGCAUGUCAUGUGGAAAAGAAAACCAAGCUAUGUGAUUAUCAUCUCCAUGAUCCUCUCUUAUUAUAUAGUUUUCAAUCUGAAUCAGUGCUCUAUCCUUCUUGCUCGCAAUAUCAUUUUCACUCCUCCGUCUUCCCCAUUCACCAGGUUGCAUAAUCCCUCGAGCCUUAUGAUGAUAAUCUUAAUCUGAAGGUACAAAAUCUAUGGUUUCUUGAGGACAAGACUAACUGAGACAGUUCAAGGGUAGGAAGAAUGGUCAUGAAAAUCAUGUAAAACCUUGGCAUACCUAAAUAAUAUGGUUGUACAUAAAUUUUGAUUGUGGUUCCAUUUUCUAUCAUACCUAAAUAAUUUCCAAAUCUGGGUUCCAAGGA